CCCGAAAAACGGCAAACCCGGGCAAACCCGGGGACGCAAAGCCCCUCGCAGAAGAGGGCUCGCCAAAAGGGCGGGUACGGGCCUAAAGCGCAAGGAUCGUUCAAUCUUGUGCCAUGGCGGCCGGGUUACCGAA
rnacentral:ncRNA from 1 species